rnacentral:rRNA from 1 species
UACGAAGGGGGCUAGCGUUGCUCGGAAUUACUGGGCGUAAAGGGCGCGUAGGCGGAUAUUUAAGUUGGGGGUGAAAUCCCGGGGCUCAACCUCGGAAUUGCCUUCAAAACUGGAUAUCUUGAGUUCGGGAGAGGUGAGUGGAACUCCGAGUGUAGAGGUGAAAUUCGUAGAUAUUCGGAAGAACACCAGUGGCGAAGGCGACUACCUGGCCUGUUCUUGACGCUGAGGCGCGAAAGCUAGGGGAGCAAACGGG